rnacentral:rRNA from 1 species
AUUGAACGCUGGCGGCAUGCCUUACACAUGCAAGUCGAACGGUAACAGGUUAAGCUGACGAGUGGCGAACGGGUGAGUAAUGUAUCGGAACGUGCCCAGUCGUGGGGGAUAACUGCUCGAAGGAGCAGCUAAUACCGCAUACGACCUGAGGGUGAAAGCGGGGGAUCGCAAGACCUCGCGCGAUUGGAGCGGCCGAUAUCAGAUUAGGUAGUUGGUGAGGUAAAGGCUCACCAAGCCGACGAUCUGUAGCUGGUCUGAGAGGACGACCAGCCACACUGGGACUGAGACACGGCCCAGACUCCGACGGGAGGCAGCAGUGGGGAAUUUUGGACAAUGGGCGCAAGCCUGAUCCAGCCAUGCCGCGUGCGGGAAGAAGGCCUUCGGGUUGUAAACCGCUUUUGUCAGGGAAGAAAAGGUUCUGGCUAAUACCUGGGACUCAUGACGGUACCUGAAGAAUAAGCACCGGCGAACUACGU